AACAAAACAGUUAUGCACAGUUGAAAAACUCGGAAACUAGACAAAUAAGGAACUAUCAAAAGAAUAUCUUACUACUCUCCUUGGGACAGCAGAAGUUGCGCUGACAGAGUGCCGGCACCCUCCGCCUCCCAAGGACUACAAGGCCUCACUAGGCCUCACUCCCUCACACAGCAGAACCAUCAGCAGGGAACCUACACCUUCAGAGCCACCAGAAGGGAAGAGAGUGAAGGCCUCUCCUCCCUUCUUUAUACCCUUGGCCUACGUAAAAACUAUAGGGAAUACUGGGCCAGGUUUAAGUCCAUAAUUGUAUCAAAACCUGCUUCCCAUCCCCUCUGUCCAGUUCGUAGUAUUUAAGGACUUGGCUGCGCACUGGAUUUUAGUCCUAGAAACACAAUAGUAAGAGGAAAUUCAGCAGAUUAUGCUGGGUACUGGAAGACAGUGCUGCCACUCUGGUGUUCAAACAUAAGAGAACACUACAGUUUGAACAUCAAGUCUUCCAGUGGCCUUCAGGAUAUAGAAUGAUUGUCAAGUGAACUAAUUUGAUUUUAAAAUAUAAUUCCUGUCCUGCAUCUGGUGUUAACAAUUCUCUCAUCUUUGUAAGGAGAAUAGAAUGGUAAUGCAAUGGUUAAUAAGGGGCCUUUCUGUUGGAGGAGAGGAAACGGAAUGGAAAAAAUACCAAGCAUGGAGAAAGAUUUAUGAUCCCUGAAUGGACACCUUUAUACCAGAUUGGACACCUUUAUACUGGACUGACAGUUUUCCCCAGUUUUCCCCAGUUUGUUGUUGUAUUGUUAUGAAGUUCUGUGUACCCCAGUUUAUUGUUGAAGAUUUCAUAUCCUCCAUAUUGUCCCCUUCUUCCCUCACAUUUUCCCUCCAAAACUUGUUUACUCCCUUGUCCUCCCCUGCUUUCCCGCUCCUCUGCACCUGAUUGGCUACAGUUUGCUGCAGUGCAGAGAGAGCUCCCAUUGGCCCUUUCCCCUGGAGACCCAAGGUUGCCACCCAUCUUUCCCCUGUCUCCCAAUCACUACUUUCCCUGAGCUGCCCGUCUUUUACUCCUCCCCAGUCCUGAGUCCACCCCCUGAACCUACCCUAUAUAAG